AGGCGAGUAAGGAGCAGCAUUUAAACUCUGCUGCCCCUCAGCCAACCUUUCUGUUGUUGGAGGAGCUCACUGAGGUCCAGGACUGCGGCUGCACACAAAGAGAGAGACACUUCCUCCAGCCGCGGAUGGAUAUCUGAGAUGCCUUAGUGGCAGUUGGCCUUCGCAGAGGGGCAGAUUGAAGGACCGAAGGCUGGUCAGGACUCCAAAGAGCCUGUGUUUCUGGUCCAGGUCACUUGCCAGAGUCGUAACUGGCUGGUAACCAGGUCCUAUGAAGACUUUCGGGUGCUGGACAAACAUCUGCACUUGUGUAUCUAUGAUCGGCGUUACUCCCAGCUCACAGAGCUGCCACGAUACGACACAUUAAAGGAAACUGUUGAGUCUGUAACCAAGAUGCUGGCCACCUACCUGUCCAGAUUCUCCGCCAUUGCUGACAACAAGAUCAACUGUGGACCAGUGCUAACAUGGAUGGAGAUCGAAAACAAGGGGAACCAUUUGUUAGUGUCUGAAGAAGCCUCAAUCAAUGUCCCUGCCAUCGCUGCUGCCCACGUCACCAAACGCUACACAGCUCAGGCCACGGACGAGUUGACCUU